rnacentral:tRNA from 1 species
GUGGCAUUGGUGUAGUUGGUGUGCACGCCAGGUUGUGACCCUGGAGGAGCGGGAUCGUGCCCCGCAUGUCACC